AUCCUCAUCAUCUUCAGCCUAGAGGUACAAGAGCUUCAGGCUGCAGGAGACCGGCUUUUGGAUACUGCUAAUCAGUCCUAGCACUCUUUCUCUUUGAACCUGGACAAGGUGUCUGACCCGUCUCAACACAGCAUCAGACAGCCACCUCUAUUGACUGAAGUUGACAAUGGAGAAUAAAACUCAUUACCCCUGCUGAAUCCAGGGGCCCCUUUUUACAGAUGAGAAAAGUUCCAGAAAGACCCAGAGACAUAAUCAGGUACCUGCGUCGAGCUCUGCACAGGUGACUGGGACUGCAACCCGGGAGACCACUGUGUCAGCAAUGGGUGUGGCCAUGAGUGUGUUGCAGGGUAAGGACAGAUGAAGAGUUAUCUUAAGGAUCAUCUUUCUCUAAGAUCGUCAUCCCUUCCUGGAGUUCCUAUCUUCCAAGAUGUGACUGUCUGGAGUUCCUUGACUAGGAAGAUGGAUGAAAACAGCGAGCCUGUGGAUGGAGACUACAGGGGAUAUGGGAGGCAGGGAAGAGGGGUUGUUUCUUUUAAUAAAUCAUCAUUGUUAAAAGCA
rnacentral:lncRNA from 1 species